rnacentral:lncRNA from 1 species
UGGGGUCACAUACAUAGAAGUACUUGUCUGAUCAAAUGACUGAUCGACGAUUAUGAAUUGUUGAAGAAUUUAAUUAUCAAUUUGAUUGAUGAUUAAUCCUAUGCAAAGGUUUUAAUAAAUAUUUACUAAUGAUUAGUAAAUUAGAAGAAUAAAUAAUUAAUAAUAUAAUUAUUAAUUAGCUCAAUUUAAUUAAGUAAUGAAGAUUGGAUUAGAUCUAAUUGAAUUAGA